rnacentral:lncRNA from 1 species
GCGUCGGUCCCGAAAAAUAGCCGCCGGCAAAGCUUAUUUUUUUUCCUUUUUUAUUUGUUUUGUGAUGUAAAUCAACCAUAUUGUAAACACAUAGAGCGAUAUAUAUUGUUGUUUAGAUUGAACCCAAUUUGCACUUAUAAAAUAAAGAUAACUAAUUACUCAUUGCCGGCGGCUGUUUUGGUGAAAAGCUAGUAACAAAACACUAAGGAACAUUCAAACCCAAGCCCUAGAGUGAGGAAAACACGCAUUUCGGACCGAGGGAGAAGAAUUCUGUGAGGGCUUGGGGUAUAUUUUUUGUUUUACAUGUGCCCAUGUGGCAAUAGAACACUAAGUAACAGAAAAAACAUCAGGAAAACCAAUGUUUUGGUGAAAAGCUACCCCGUAGACGCCACGAGGCCCCAGGAGGGGGCGAUGCCUCAAAUCACACGACGGAUGGUCUAGAGAAUUUGAAAUCUUGGAUGAUGUCAUAAAAUGGGUACAUAGAGAUGGUCUUAAGAGGAAAACACAAUCCAAGGAUCUGAGGUUGCAUUUUCUUCACAAACUAUACUAACCCCCACGAACGUUCCGGACUUAGGGGGGAAAAGUCGCAAUUCGGACGGACGGAGCAGAAUCCUUUGAGGACUUGGGUAGCUUUUUGGUUUUUCAUGUCCCCAUGUGCUAGUAAAACACAAAUGUAUAGAGUAAAGUGACUUGAGAACAUAAGUUUUGGUGAAACCCGGAGACGCCACGAGGCCCGCAGGAGAGGGUGACGUCUGAUUUAGAAUCGACGGAGCUGAAAUUAGAGAGGACUUGAGUUAAAUUUUUGGUUUUCCUUGCACACAUUUUCUAGUAAAACAGUCAGACAAAUUAAAGUGGCAAGAAAUCCCAAGUUUGUGAAGUAAAUAAGUUAUUGGGUAAUGCAAGGGCCUAAUUCACCCUUACAUAGAAGUAAACAAUAAAACAUUCAGCAUUGCAGAUACAGUAAACUUAAGUGCUAAUACAGACGGAGCAUCUCUUACAUAGAAGUGUAUGCUAAUCCAAUAGAAAUGUCAAGGUGCUCUAUCCGAAAAGCACAUUACGAUUUUCCAGCUCAAACACAUGUAGAGAAGCCCACUUGGAUCUUUUUCUUUUCAAGGGUUUGCACACUCGGAUCUUCAAGACGGCACUAGCAAUUGUAGUUCAUAUCACAAAAUCCAACCCAUAAGCAGCAGUAGAGAAAAGUUACAUUACCCUGUGCAAGUAUGUAUCAACAGAAUCAUGCAAGUUAGGAAAGAAAAAAAAAAGAAAAAUGGUCCUUGCCAGCGGCUUUAGUAAGGGCUGUCGGCAAAGACACCUAUGCCGACGGCUUUUCUUGGGGCCGCCGGCAUAGGGUUUUAGAUUAUUUUUUUACUAAAAACUUCGGGCCUAAUUUCCCCUCUCCAAUUCCCCACCAUGCCUCCCCCCCUGC